rnacentral:lncRNA from 1 species
AACUUUAAAGUCAUCCCAAAGCUUAACUGCCUCGUCGAUCUUCUCAUUUACCCACUUCCAAAAUUUACCCUCUGCUUUUGGUACUAUUAAACCACACACUAAAAUCACCAUAAACAUUGUCUGUAUCAACUUGUAAUUUCCUGAUUCUGACAUUCUUUUUAUUACUUCUUUAUCGAUCACUUGGAUAAUUAAUAUAUUCGAUGAUAAUCACGAUA